rnacentral:rRNA from 1 species
UACGUAGGGACCAAGCGUUGUUCGGAUUUACUGGGCGUAAAGCGCACGUAGGCGGAUUGCUAAGUCAGGGGUGAAAUCCUGGAGCUCAACUCCAGAACUGCCUUUGAUACUGGCGAUCUUGAGUCCGGGAGAGGUGAGUGGAACUGCGAGUGUAGAGGUGAAAUUCGUAGAUAUUCGCAAGAACACCAGUGGCGAAGGCGGCUCACUGGCCCAUAACUGACGCUGAGGCACGAAAGCGUGGGGAGCAAACAGG